CGGGGCGUAGCGCAGCCCGGUUAGCGCGCGUCGUUCGGGACGACGAGGUCGCCGGUUCAAAUCCGGCCGCCCCGA
rnacentral:tRNA from 2 species